rnacentral:rRNA from 1 species
UACAGAGGGUGCAAGCGUUGCUCGGAAUCAUUGGGCGUAAAGGGUAGGUAGGUGGUCUCGUUUGUCUGGGGUGAAAGCCCAGGGCUUAACCCUGGAAGUGCCCCAGAAACGGCGAGACUAGAGUAUUGGAGAGGGUCGUGGAAUUCCCGGUGUAGCGGUGAAAUGUGUUGAUAUCAGGAGGAACACCCAUGGCGAAGGCAGCAAACUGGUCAUCAACUGACGCUGAGGCGCGAAAGCGUGGGUAGCAAACAGG